GAUCGGCGUCUUCGAUACCGCCGCGUCGUUCAACUCCGGUGACCUUACGCUCCUCGUCGAGAUACGAGGUCGUCGAUGUCCUCUAAUUCAGCCUCAGCGGAUUCCAGAUCGCGUUCUUCGUUGUCGGGCCUGGGCGCAAUCGGCCCUAAUUCGUCAUCGUCGUCGAGCUUCAGGAAGAUUUUGGUUUCAGAUCUAUAAGAGAUGGUCAUGAGGAUCUAAUGGUUGCCUUGUACCUACAAGUCAAAAUUGUGAGCCAGACUCUUAUUUUUGUCACUCGGUCACGAAGAUGGUCCUUUUUAGAACGCCCUGGACUACUAUUACUCAGUGCUGUUGCCAUCGCCCAGCUGUUGAUAGAGUGGCAAGUUCGCGGUGCAGCGGCACGCUGCUGUUUCCAUCUAAAUACUAUAAGUAUCUGUUAAGUUCAACUCCUAUUGUGAAGCCUCCAUUGACCAUGAGGCCAUUUGGCAGGCCAAUAAGUAUUUGAAUGAAGUUUGCUGGUGGCGAUGGAAAAACCAUUCCUAUCAAGUGUGAUCAUUGUGGUGAGGUGAGGCGUCA